rfam:Bacillus licheniformis ATCC 14580, complete genome.
AGGUGAUGUCUCCUUGCCUUUACCGAUGGAGGCACUCGGCUCUACCGUGGGCAGACUACCUGUCUGCCUUAGACGCAAGUCGUCGAUGGCGGGGCGUGAGGACGGGUUAAAUGCCCA